rnacentral:sRNA from 1 species
CCGCAUUCUUGUUGGCCUGAAGGAUAAUCUCGUGCUUCCCGUUAACAACAGAGCCUUUGUCUAAUCGAUAAUUUUUCUUCGAGUCAUUUUUCGGAGUUUGGGACGGGUAGAGUCGAUGGCCUCGAGACGUGCCUUGGACUUUAGGGAGGACUCUAGUCCAGGGAACGCCGAACAAAAACUUGCGAGCUGACUUGAUAGAAGGAGGUAUUGUUGCAGUUCCUGUUGCAGUGCCUAUUGCUUGUUAUCUGGGUGUUGUGAUUGUUAGCAAAAUAUACGCACUGUUCUCAGCGUUGAUCCCAAGGGAUGAUUUUGAGAUAAGUUAUAUUGGUUCAAAGAUCGGAUCGAAGUAUAUGGCACUGUUGGAGUAUUGAGUUUGAGGGGAAGAGUGCUGCUACCUAGGUAGUGAACGCUCCUAAAGGGCGUGACGGGACCAUUAUAUUUCUUAAGGCAUUGCAUUUGAUU